rnacentral:rRNA from 1 species
GCAAGCCUGAUCCAGCCAUGCCGCGUGAGUGAUGAAGGCCUUAGGGUUGUAAAGCUCUUUCGCACGCGACGAUGAUGACGGUAGCGUGAGAAGAAGCCCCGGCUAACUUCGUGCCAGCAGCCGCGGUAAUACGAAGGGGGCUAGCGUUGUUCGGAAUUACUGGGCGUAAAGCGCACGCAG